GGCCUGUAUAUGUUUUAUAUAAUCUCCGAAGUUGUAUCUGGGAUAAGCAAUUCGUUCAUUUCUUAUGUACGAUCCAUUUUUUACUGAGUCAUAUUGCGACAUGAUCUUUGUUACUUACAAAAUGUAGAUGGCAGAAGAUAUUGCAUGGAUAAUGAUGAGAGUAACAUCUGUCUUCUUAUAUGUUGCAGGUAUCGGCUUGGCUAUGGUUAUCACCAGUGCAAUGUGUGUCCAUCUACUACAAUGUCGUCGUCAUGCACACCAUCUACUACAUGUUUGUCAGCUACGUCAAUCUUGACGACACGGUACCCUGGGGGUCGUGUGGCAAUCCUUGGAAUACCGACUCCUGAUCCAGGACGACAUCACAAAGAGCUGCCUGAUCAAGUUCACUACAGCCAUGUAAGAGUACUGGAAGUCAGUUUCAGAUUCUGCUUUUGAGGGAAGCAAUUGAAGAUUUCGGAGGGUUCAGUCCCAAGAAAACCAUGUAACCCUUUCCUGGCUCCACGUCAUCUUCUGUCUGAAGAAGGGAAUCAAGACAUCAGGCAAGGUCGUGUAUUUCACCGCUACCUUCCCCUACGUCAUUCCUGUGGUGCUGCUGAUCCGGGGCCUGACGCUGCCAGGGCAAGAGCAUCGCAUUUUGCAUGACCCAACAGGUCACUAGGUUGACAGAGGCCAAGGUAUGGGGAGAUGCCGCCACUCAGACAUUUUAGUCAUUGGGAGCUGGAUUUGGCAGUGUGUGGACCAUGUAAAGUUACAAGUUAUGAGCAACUGUCAGCAUUCCUCCAAAAGUGUCAGCCACUUAGUGCUCCCCGGCCUACUACGGAGACUACACGUUCCCAUCGUGGACUGAGGGGAUUGGCUGGUGCAUGGUUGUUACCCUGUUGCUAUCAUUAUCCUGGAUAUGGUGGUCUACACGCUCGGACUCCAAAGUUCGAAAUACAUCAUUUCCAACUGUGUUUUCCAGAGUACUGCAAACAUGUCUACAUAGGCACGAUGAAGUUUUAUUCUAUUGUUCAUGAAGUCCAUGCACAUGUGUAGAAGCGUUUGAAGACUAACGAGAUAUUAUAUGAAAUAUUUUAUACCAUAAAACGCCGACAUUCCACAAUCAUGGUGCAGGACUAACGCUUUCUUGCCGAAGUGAUGAUUCCUACAAAGCAGCAUUGCUGGCGCAUUGGGAUCAUUGUCUAAUCAGAUUAAAGUGUUCGCCCCCACAGCUGGGGACUUGCUAACCAGGCAAAUCGGACCUCAUCACUCCUGAGGCUCCUGGUAGCAGGGGCCACGCUAUGGACAAGACUAGUGCGUGCACUGAGAAGGGGAGCCCAGCAUCCAGUGUCAUAGGUGACAACUCUGGAUACUACAUGUACAGCAACAGACUAUAAGCUACGACCAGAGCUGUUAUAUUAGUAAUACUUAUUCUUACAAAUUAUGAGUUCUGGUCAAUUAUAUACAGACAUGGUUCUGCAGUCAUAAUCCGAUAAUCUAUUCCACUAUUUAAGUGUGUCACGGGCGGUUGAUGUUUAACACUGUAGUAAAAACCACCACCAAGGGUAUGGUGCUUAUGAACCAAUGAUUACAAUCAGGCUAGCAUGGGUUUCGAAAUCACUAUCAAAGGAUCCUGGCCUGCAUUUGGGACACAUCGCAACAAUUUAACCGCCUUGGACGGCUUGACUAUCCGUGCCCCAAAUGACUGUGCCCUUGGACAUGUAAGCUUGACUGUAUCCAGACGGCUGCACCACCAUAGUAUCUGGGCCAAUAGAAAUUUUCCCGGGGUUAAUUUUCACGCGUCACCAUAGACGUGAAAGACUCAAGUGGACGCGCAAAGAUGGCAGAACCGAAACUGGCAGUCUGAGAGAAUCACGUUUUCUGAUUAGAGCAGGUUCCAGCUCUUCAGAGCAGAUGGUUGUUUAUGUACGUGUGUGUCGUCAACUAGACGACUUCACGGCUGUUCCAUCUGGAGGUGGCAGCGUAAUUAUCUCAUCCAAGUUCUUUACUGUAUCCCAAUUGCGUGGAUCGAUGCUCAUGAUGUCAAGCACUGGAUUAUCUGGUCCAGACUUGAUUAUUUACAGACCGCCACCAUAUCGCUCGA